rnacentral:rRNA from 1 species
AUACGGAGGGUGCGAGCGUUGUUCGGAAUUAUUGGGCGUAAAGCGCGUGUAGGCGGUUUGUUAAGUCUGAUGUGAAAGCCCCGGGCUCAACCUGGGAAGUGCAUUGGAUACUGGCAGACUUGAAUACGGGAGAGGGCAGUGGAAUUCCUGGUGUAGGAGUGAAAUCUGUAGAGAUCAGGAAGAAUACCAAUGGCGAAGGCAAGCUCCUGGCCGAUGACUGACGCUGAGGUGCGAAAGUGUGGGGAUC